CACGAAGCGACGCCUCGUAACCAGCGGAGAAGAAGGCCACGGCCUCAUCCAACUCAUUAAGUAGCGUGACGUAAACGGUGCAGAAGCCGCGGUGGAACGGCGGAGCUUGGUCGGUGGCUGAGACGUUCAUGAGAGCUCCUCAUGCUGCCCUCAUCACUGUUGUACGCCUCCACUUCCAACAUAUGGGAGCUGCUGGUUUCUCUGUCCAGAGCUCUGAGGCCUCUUGUGACCAGUCCGGUGUCUCUGUCUAUACUGAACAGAUUGUUGCUGUUCCCUGCAUCCAUCACAAAAACGAGUGCACAGACAGAGAGACAGUGAAAGAAAGGGAAGGCAGAUGGCCAGAAACACCCAAAAAAGCCAAUCCCAGCACAGACAGCAAGACUCCACAGCGUACACAGAUAAACAGUGAAACAUAUUGGGCUGCUGGUGAAUGGGCCAUGUCAUAUGACUGACUUUCUGAAUCCAGAGAGGCGCAUCGUCGCCGGCACUGGAUGAGGCCGACUUUAUGUCACACCUCGCUUCUCUGUGAAUGUGUCAAAAUCUGUGGAGCGUUUCCCCCUCUGUUUCUGGGAAAAGCCGUAGUUUGAGGGGGGAAAAACAAGAGCGUGCAGCUACAAAGUGUGGAUCUACAAAACAGAUCUGACCUCAACUACUGGAACGAAGCAAAGUUCUGCUUUAAAGUCUCCAAAGUGUCAGCAACCGAGACAAUAUGAACACCACUGAUCCGGACUCCAACGUCACCUUUACUUCUAACACAGAAAACAUCACUCUGUCAACCCUCACCACCACCACUAUUGCCACCUCUGCCACCAUUCGACAGCCCCCAUCUUAUUCUUCAGACAUCCACGACCCAGAAUUCACCAUCAUGGUGGUGCUGGGGCUGUCGCUGCUGCUGGCAGGGUUUGCAGCCUUCCUGGCAGUGUGCCGGCCCUCUGAACAGGACGGGGACUCUGAGGCGAACUGCGGGCCGGGGGAGAGCUUGACUCGUAGAAGGAGGACGUCCAGCGAGCCCCAGCUGAAGGUGUGGAAGAGGCUGGGCUCGUAUCGGCGUUCGUACAAUCUCUCCUUCAGACGGCCGCCUCAUCGCAGGCCGCAGGAGCGCGAGAGCACACACGCUCCCCAGCCUCCAACUCAACAGACAACACAGCCAGAGGCCAGCGGAGAACCCCACAUCACUGUGCCUUGUCUAUUUGACUAUGUUACCGAAAUCUGACUUGAAGAGCACCUGAAGGACGAUUGACUGUUACCUAAACGGUGCAGCAAACAUCACUAAUACCAGGAGAGAGUGAAAAGUGCAUUUAUAGUAUUUCUUUAACCUUCUUUGAAUGCUAGGUGGAUGAAGUUUGGUACAAAACACAGGAAAAGUAUUUAAAAUGUAGAUAAUCAAAAAGCCCAUUUUUCUUACUGAUCCCAGGUCGAAGUUUGGAUCCCAGGUGAUCUUUUUCAUCACAGCUCUGUGCUAUAGUCACAAGUGACUUUACAGUGAGCAAAAGAAAUCAAUACAGAAAAUUUUAACACAAGACACCAGCAAAACGACUUGGAGGCUAAAAUUAAGCCUCAAAUGACAGAAUAUCACUUUAGUCUAUUACUAUAUUUUCACUCAAAUUCAACGUCUGGGGACAAGCAUCACUACCCAACAUCACAACUCUUGUUGCUCUGAUGCACCGAAACCCAUCCAUCUGGAAAUUCACACACAUUAAGACAGUCACGCUAGUC